AAACCCGGGGAUGCCGGGGCCCAGGUGUCCCCAGCAGGAAGAAGUGGGCACUCGCACCAGCCAAGGGGGAGCGAGCCUUCCUGGGCAGGAGGCGACCCAGCCCCGAGUCCCCCGGGCUGGAAGGGCCUCGGAGACACGCUGCCCACUGGAGCGAAGGAGACGCAGGGUAGUUAGAAGA
rnacentral:lncRNA from 1 species